rnacentral:rRNA from 1 species
GGACCGAACCGACUAAUGUUGAAAAAUUAGCGGAUGACUUGUGGCUGGGGGUGAAAGGCCAAUCAAACCGGGAGAUAGCUGGUUCUCCCCGAAAGCUAUUUAGGUAGCGCCUCGUGAACUCAUCUCCGGGGGUAGAGCACUGUUUCGGCUAGGGGGUCAUCCCGACUUACCAACCCGAUGCAAACUGCGAAUACCGGAGAAUGUUAUCACGGGAGACACACGGCGGGUGCUAACGUUCGUCGUGAAGAGGGAAACAACCCAGACCGCCGGCUAAGGUCCCAAAGUCAUAAUUAAGUGGGAAACGAAGUGGGAAGGCUCAGACAGCCAGGAUGUUGGCUUAGAAGCAGCCAUCAUUUAAAGAAAGCGUAAUAGCUCACUGGUCGAGUCGGCCUGCGCGGAAGAUGUAACGGGGCUAAAUUAUGCACCGAAGCCGCGGCAGCGAUAUGUAAAUAUUGUUGGGUAGGGGAGCGUUCUGUAAGCCUGUGAAGGUGGCCUGUGAGGGCUGCUGGAGGUAUCAGAAGUGCGAAUGCUGACAUAAGUAACGAUAAUGCGGGUGAAAAACCCGCACGCCGGAAGACCAAGGGUUCCUGUCCAACGUUAAUCGGGGCAGGGUGAGUCGACCCCUAAGGCGAGGCUGAAAAGCGUAGUCGAUGGGCAACGGGUUAAUAUUCCCGUACUGGUGGUAACUGCGAAGGGGGGACGGAGAAAGCUAAAUCAUCCGGGCGACGGUUGUCCCGGUUUAAGCGUGCAGGUGGACUGACCAGGCAAAUCCGGUCGGUUGUUAACACUGAGGCGUGACGACGAGCCACUACGGUGGUGAAGUGAUUGAUGCUCUGCUUCCGGGAAAAGCCUCUAAGCUCCAGGUUACCAUUAAUCGUACCCCAAACCGACACAGGUGGUCAGGUAGAGAAUACUCAGGCGCUUGAGAGAACUCGGGUGAAGGAACUAGGCAAAAUGGUGCCGUAACUUCGGGAGAAGGCACGCUGGCAUUAGGUGAAGUGGUUUACCCACGGAGCUGAAGCCAGCCGCAGAUACCAGCUGGCUGCAACUGUUUAUUAAAAACACAGCACUGUGCAAACACGAAAGUGGACGUAUACGGUGUGACGCCUGCCCGGUGCCGGAAGGUUAAUUGAUGAGGUCAGCCGCAAGGCGAAGCUUCUGAUCGAAGCCCCGGUAAACGGCGGCCGUAACUAUAACGGUCCUAAGGUAGCGAAAUUCCUUGUCGGGUAAGUUCCGACCUGCACGAAUGGCGUAAUGAUGGCCAGGCUGUCUCCACCCGAGACUCAGUGAAAUUGAACUCGCUGUGAAGAUGCAGUGUACCCGCGGCAAGACGGAAAGACCCCGUGAACCUUUACUAUAGCUUGACACUGAACAUUGAGCCUUGAUGUGUAGGAUAGGUGGGAGGCAACGAAGUGUGGACGCCAGUCUGCACGGAGCCAUCCUUGAAAUACCACCCUUUAACGUUUGAUGUUCUAACCCGGGUCCAUAAUCUGGAUCGGGGACCGUGUCUGGUGGGUAGUUUGACUGGGGCGGUCUCCUCCCAAAGAGUAACGGAGGAGCACGAAGGUUGGCUAAGCAUGGUCGGACAUCAUGCGGUUAGUGCAAAGGCAUAAGCCAGCUUGACUGCGAGAGUGACGGCUCGAGCAGGUACGAAAGUAGGUCUUAGUGAUCCGGUGGUUCUGAAUGGAAGGGCCAUCGCUCAACGGAUAAAAGGUACUCCGGGGAUAACAGGCUGAUACCGCCCAAGAGUUCAUAUCGACGGCGGUGUUUGGCACCUCGAUGUCGGCUCAUCACAUCCUGGGGCUGAAGUAGGUCCCAAGGGUAUGGCUGUUCGCCAUUUAAAGUGGUACGCGAGCUGGGUUUAGAACGUCGUGAGACAGUUCGGUCCCUAUCUGCCGUGGGCGCUGGAAGAUUGAGAGGGGUUGCUCCUAGUACGAGAGGACCGGAGUGAACGCACCACUGGUGUACGGGU